UUUGCACCUCCUUCUGUUCUGUCACCAUUCAUUAUUUAACACAUCUCUCUCUGGCCGCUGUAUCAACUUCUCCUGGAAGGAGACAGCUGCUCUCUGUCACCUUCACCGCUCAGACUUCUUUUUUUCUCCCAUUAUGUGUCAUGUGCAGCUGAGAACACUGAUUUUUGUAGCCUGGUUGCUGGGUUACGUGGCCUUCCUGCUCUCCAUCAGGAGGAUGUGGACAGGGAAACACAUCCGCAGUCCGCUGGUCCGCUCGCUCUUUAUGAGCAUGGUGACUGAGAAUGACACGGGAACAGCUGACCAGGAGUGGUACAGGUGCUGUCCUGAUUUGUUGGGAGAAUCAGUGCGACCCCUGUUUGUCCAGAGCCACCUGGACUCGGACACCAAGGCUUUUCUCAAGCGCAGUCAGGAAAAGUCUAGCUGGCUCUUCACACAGCUCUAUCACUCUCUGGUAUCAUCUGUCCUCGGUCCUAUGGUGUCACGCACCUCCAUCAACGGGUUUCUAGGCCGGGGCUCCAUGUUCGUGUUUUCUGCCGACCAGUUCCAGCGGUUGCUACGGAUCGUCCCGGACUGGACGGCGAAGAGGCUCCUGGACCUCGGAGCAGGGGACGGAGGAGUCACAGAGGUCAUGGGAGUCCACUUCCAGCAGGUCUAUGCAACAGAGGUCUCACCACCAAUGAAGUGGCAUCUCCAGAGAAGGAAUUUCACACUGCUGGGUAUAGAUGAGUGGCAGCAUACUGGUUUCCAGUACGAUGUAAUCAGCUGCCUGAACCUGCUGGACCGCUGCGAUGAUCCUCUACAUCUCUUGCGGGACAUCAGGAGCUCCUUAGUCCCCAAGACAGGAAGACUCAUCCUGGCUGCUGUGCUUCCUUUCGAGCCCUACAUUGAAGUCGGAGGGAAGUGGCAACGUCCAAAUAACCACCUUAAAAUUGCUGGAAAGACGUGGGAGGAGCAAGUAACGAACAUGUGCAGUGAGGUCUUCCAGCAGGUGGGGUUUGAGUUGGAGGCCGUGACCCGACUGCCAUACCUCUGCGAAGGCGACAUGUAUAACGAUUAUUAUGUACUGGAUGAUGCCGUGUUUGUUCUCAAGGCAUCAGAGGACGCCGGAGGUUCUCCUUAGUGAAAAUGAAAUGCUUUAUGGGAAUGUUCUCCAGAUGUUGUAGGGUUGUUGAUUUUUUCCGUUGGUUUUAGUGCAAUGUGGAAUAUGUCAUUCUUACAGUCAUUCAUUUCUGACUUGGGUGGAAAUGGGGAGUCACGUGAAGCUCAGGUGCUGUGGUUUAGAUCUUUUGGAUUCUGAGAUACCUCAGCCUUUUAAGCAAUAAAGAGAAAUGAAAGGCCAUCAGGUCUGCCACUGAAGAUUAGUUGUUUUAACAAAUCACUGUGCUGUAAGAGUUAAUCUGUAAAGUCUGUUACUUGUGUUUUCUGUUUAAUAUUUAAAUGUUAACAUCAGUGAAAACAAAUAGUUAUGGGAGUUAUGUGUAAAACAUUUCAUUUUUUUACAAUUAGUACAUGGCAACAGCUGUAAAUACUAGUGGCAAGGGCAGAAUGGUGUUUUAAUAUUCUUUACAUUUUCUGAAUACUGACAGAGUUCAACACUGACAUAAUUCCUUUAAGGUGGUUUCUCAGUUUAUUAGCCAAAUUCUCAGAUUAACUCUUUAACCCAAAGACCUGGCAUGGAUAGGAGCGGACCUACAACAACAGAGGCCUGGGGCAAAAUUACAGGCAAGAGCCCAUUUCUCUUUUCUUCAUUCAGUUUUCUCUCAUUACUUUUUGGAGCCAUAUUUGUCUACAAGCUACUUUCUGUUUCCUGUUGUCUACUGCUGCAAGUGUUUAACCACUGCAACCUUCAAUAUUUCUUUGUAUACAGUUGUCUCAAGAGCCAUAGGAUGUUGGCUUACUGGAUCUAUAACUGAGGACGUUUCCACUUAUUGGGACAAGAUCCAAGAUCAGUUUGGGGACUUUUUCAAAUUAUUGUUCAUUGCUGGGACGCAUACCUCUAUAUCCUUGUAAUGAAGAGACCAGAUGUAAUAUCUGAUGUAAGUACUAAACUUAUCCGUACCUGAUGCUAUCACAGUUGGGUGACUUUGUGAACUCAGUGCUGUGUCAGAGCAAGGAGAUCCUGAGGGAAUGAUGGGCUGGCAGACUAAUCAGAGACUUCAAUCAGAAUUAAAACAAGCUGGAUCCAUUUAUUUUAACAUUUUAAUGUGUUUCUGUUCACAGUAUCAUUCUUUCAAGCUCCAACCAGCUCUGUUUGUUUUGCCUUCUUGCACCUGCUGUAGCAAUUGUCUGAUCCGAUUCUGAAUUCCAAAGAAAGGAACCAUGCCAAUCCGAUGCCUGUACUACAUGGAAGCAGCCAGUGCCUCUCUGGAGAGACUGCUGUGAACCCAGGUCUAACAAAUGUGGUGCAGCGAUUCUGUUGUCCACUGAGCUGAGAAAUUGGUCCUACAGGACCGCAUUCCCUGUUCAUUAAGAGGUGAAACAACAGACGCAAGUCAAACAUAAGGCAUUGUAUCAGCUUAUCCGAGUUCUGUUUUCAGAACCAGCCAGACCUCUUUCUGCUCUAUUCUAAGCUUUCCCCAGACUUAAGAUAGGUAUGUAGAACUCCAGAUUAGGUCAGAACGUGUUUUACCGUUCAGAGAGACAGAGGGAGAUUGAGAGUUACUUGAAUCAGCUAAUAAUGGUGAACCCUACCAUAAGAUCCGUGUGGUGCCAAUGGUAACGUAUCCUGAUUUAACCCAUGUGUGGAGUUACUUCUUGUCUGUGGGAGAUGGCUCCUCCCUCUUCUAUCAUGAGACACUGCCACUGAUGAAGAGUAGGAUCAAAACAUCCUCAGAAGCCACUUCUGGCAAUCCAAGCACAGUUUGGCGAUGGUCUUUAUGUUUCCCUGUUAGGACAUUGUAUCACUAUUGAAAAGCGAUAAACUGGGUAAAAGAUCUGAUUAGUAAAAUUUUUAUGGGUGGCCAGGAAACUCCCCAGAUGUUAAACCCACUUAGAACUUGUGAGCAGUUCUCCAAAUGCAGGUGUAGAAACAGAUGUCAGCGAACUGAUCAUCCCCAAGAACUAUUUCAACAGAAUGAACAGAGCUGGUCCACCAGUGUACAAGGUCCUAAGCAAAAUUUGAUUAUGGGGCCCACUUAGAGUUAAUUUCAGCAUUCACCAGUCACCCCAAAGCCACUAAUCCUGUUUAAUUAUGUUUUAUCAGUCGUUUUACUGUUCUGUAUUUGCCUCAGCUGGUCUAAAGUUAACUAGUGAGCCAGCAAUUCAUUUCUUAAAGGAACAGUUCAGACCUUUAAAAAUAAGCUUGUGUUGAAAGAUGAACAGGUAAUAUUUUAUCUGCAGUGCAUACCUCUUCUAACUUUUUUUUUUGCUUGUAUGAAGAGUUUAGAUUUUCCAGGAGGAAUGAAUUCACUGCUGAUCAGAGCUGACCAGAGCCAAAGAAGACAUCAUCAAAAUAACUGCAAUCUCUAAAAUCUCAUAUGGUAUAACAUAAUUUUAUGACAGAAAUUUAAUUUCAAGCUUUGGUUUUUUCAGGCCACCAAGGGGCCUUAAGAAGCUGCUUAUGCUACUUAUGUCUUGGGCUAACUCUGAGAAUAGGAAACCAUUGUGAUGAUGUGGCCCACAUUGUGAAUUAGGUUCAACGCUGUAAAUAUUAAACCUUGAAAUUAAUUUGAUGUAAUUAGUAAUACACCUUGAAACCUGUGACUUAUAAAACAUUUUCUUCAGCAUGUCAAGGAAACGUGAUCUAAAAUUGCAUUAGCAACAGCACACAUUUAAAAACUUUUGUUCAUAAAUGCAGAUUACUUUACUUCGGUUUUCACUUGUAUCUCCUGACGUAUCCUAAUGACACGUCAAAUAUUUCCUCCAUAUGGCAGAGCGGGAUUUACUGCUGUCUUGAAAAUA